CAGUAAAGACUUUUCAUUCCAUCACAGAAGACCUGCAGGUGGCUAGUGGUGUCACUGAGGGAAAGAAUGCAUUUGGCUGGUGAGCUUUGUUGCCCCAUUGCACAUCCUCUCCAUGCCAGUUGCAGCAGAGGGCUGCUAGGCCUCUCCUCUGCCCUGGGACCUUCAGCAUCUGCUGUUCCUCAGGAGCCAUGUUUCUUAAAAAAGCAGCCAAAGAAAAUAGGGCUUGCCAAGCUGAUGUGGGGCACAUGGCAUGAGGUGCAGUCAAGGCACUGGUGUUGGCUGUGAGGAGCUGCCCUUUGUUGUCCUGAUGGGAGAGAGAAGUAGAGAUAGUCUGGAACAUGCAGAGUUGUGUCAGGUAUUCUGUUGUGCUUCUGUCUUUGCUGCCUGAAGAGAUGUAGCUUGGCUUGGUUUACUGCUUUCUGAAAAUGGCUGCUUUCUUUCCCCCUGUAACAAUAAUGUUCUUCAUAAAAUUAAGUUUGCCAGGAUAGUUUUGUCAGAUUCAUCUAGACCUUGGAAUCUCUGAGAUGUUUAUUAUGCAGGCUGCUGGGGCAAGCAUGGUUUGUUGUAAUGUCUAAUCUUAAAAAUACUCUGAGAAGAGUCAUUUU
rnacentral:lncRNA from 1 species